AGAGUUUGAUCCUGGCUCAGGACGAACGCUGGCGGCGUGCUUAACACAUGCAAGUCGAACGGAAAGGCCCCUUCGGGGGUACUCGAGUGGCGAACGGGUGAGUAACACGUGGGUGAUCUGCCCUGCACUUUGGGAUAAGCCUGGGAAACUGGGUCUAAUACCGAAUAUGACCACGCUCUUCAUGGGGUGUGGUGGAAAGCUUUUGCGGUGUGGGAUGGGCCCGCGGCCUAUCAGCUUGUUGGUGGGGUAAUGGCCUACCAAGGCGACGACGGGUAGCCGGCCUGAGAGGGUGACCGGCCACACUGGGACUGAGAUACGGCCCAGACUCCUACGGGAGGCAGCAGUGGGGAAUAUUGCACAAUGGGCGCAAGCCUGAUGCAGCGACGCCGCGUGAGGGAUGACGGCCUUCGGGUUGUAAACCUCUUUCACCAGGGACGAAGCGCAAGUGACGGUACCUGGAGAAGAAGCACCGGCCAACUACGUGCCAGCAGCCGCGGUAAUACGUAGGGUGCGAGCGUUGUCCGGAAUUACUGGGCGUAAAGAGCUCGUAGGUGGUUUGUCGCGUUGUUCGUGAAAACUCACAGCUUAACUGUGGGCGUGCGGGCGAUACGGGCAGACUAGAGUACUGCAGGGGAGACUGGAAUUCCUGGUGUAGCGGUGGAAUGCGCAGAUAUCAGGAGGAACACCGGUGGCGAAGGCGGGUCUCUGGGCAGUAACUGACGCUGAGGAGCGAAAGCGUGGGUAGCGAACAGGAUUAGAUACCCCGGUAGUCCAA
rnacentral:rRNA from 1 species